rnacentral:rRNA from 1 species
UACAGAGGGUGCAAGCGUUAAUCGGAUUUACUGGGCGUAAAGCGCGCGUAGGUGGCCAAUUAAGUCAAAUGUGAAAUCCCCGAGCUUAACUUGGGAAUUGCAUUCGAUACUGGUUGGCUAGAGUAUGGGAGAGGAUGGUAGAAUUGCAGGUGUAGCGGUGAAAUGCGUAGAGAUCUGGAGGAAUACCGAUGGCGAAGGCAGCCAUCUGGCCUAAUACUGACACUGAGGUGCGAAAGCAUGGGGAGCAAACAGG